UUGUUAAAGGUUUACCGCCUUGGGAUAGGCUUGCGUCUGAUUAGCUAGUUGGUGUGGUAAUGGCACACCAAGGCUACGAUCAGUAACUGGUCUGAGAGGAUGAUCAGUCACACUGGAACUGAGACACGGUCCAGACUCCUACGGGAGGCAGCAGUGAGGAAUAUUGGGCAAUGCACGAAAGUGUGACCCAGCAACGCCGCGUGGAGGAUGAAGGUAUUCUAUAUCGUAAACUCCUGUGAGAGCAGACGAAAGACAGUAUUAUUAAUUUGGAUGACUGUAUGCUCAGAGGAAGCCCCGGCUAACUACGUG
rnacentral:rRNA from 1 species